rnacentral:lncRNA from 1 species
UAGAACUUGCUAGGAUAGGCUUUAAUCAUGGCUCUGAUACCAUGUUACAAAAGUAGAAAGAAUGAAAUAUUGUAUUUCUUAUUGAAUGAUAAGGAGAGCGUACAACUGAUAUAUAUAAUUAUUCAGAGCAAUAUAAAAAAAGGGUUAUAAGUAUAAAAAUAUAUGAACAUAAAUGCACAGAUGUAAACAUAGAAUAAAAUAAUUCCAAUAAAAGCAUCGAGUCCAAUGCCGUCGGGAUGGUCGGGAACCGGCUUCUCUUAGUGGAAUGAAGUGAGGUGCACCAUUGACCGCGUCACAUCAAUCAACAUCGCUCUCUCUCCAGGGCAACGAAUACAGAGAAUUAUAUAAUGUUUCUUCCAUUCACUUCGGGCAUUCUCUUCGCGCAUUGCGUAUUCUCUUCUUCGCUCUCCCACCUCGCUCUCGGUAUAAUUACUUGUUUCCCUUCUCCUAAAUCCGAAUGGUCACCUCAUCCCUAUAUUCUCUC